rnacentral:rRNA from 1 species
GACGAACGCUGGCGGCGUGCCUAAUACAUGCAAGUAGAACGCACAGUUUAUACCGUAGCUUGCUACACCAUAGACUGUGAGUUGCGAACGGGUGAGUAACGCGUAGGUAACCUGCCUGGUAGCGGGGGAUAACUAUUGGAAACGAUAGCUAAUACCGCAUAAUAUUGAUUAUUGCAUGAUAAUUGAUUGAAAGGUGCUAUUGCAUCACUACCAGAUGGACCUGCGUUGUAUUAGCUAGUAGGUGAGGUAACGGCUCACCUAGGCGACGAUACAUAGCCGACCUGAGAGGGUGAUCGGCCACACUGAGACUGAGACACGGCCCAGACUCCUACGGGAGGCAGCAGUAGGGAAUCUUCGGCAAUGGACGAAAGUCUGACCGAGCAACGCCGCGUGAGUGAAGAAGGUUUUCGGAUCGUAAAGCUCUGUUGUAAGAGAAGAACGGGUGUGAGAGUGGAAAGUUCACACUGUGACGGUAUCUUACCAGAAAGGGACGGCUAACUACGUG